CUACCAAUAAGCUUGUUGACACGUAUAGAGGUGACAAAAUUUCUAUUGCCUGACCUCGGAUCAGUCGUGACUACCCGCUGAACUUAAGCAUAUCACUAAGCGGAGGAAAAGAAACUAACCAGGAUUCCCCUAGUAACGGCGAGUGAAGAGGGAAAAGCCCAGCACCGAAGCCUGCGGCAGUUUUGCUGUUAGGCAAUGUGGUGUUUGGGCCGGCUCGUGGGAUUGCCACUCCACUCGAAGUCCAGCAUUGAGUAUGGUCCCCUGGAUUUGGCCCAGAGAGGGUGAAAGGCCCGUGCGAGUGGAUGUUUCAUGUAAGGCAAUUCACCAGGCCGGCCUUAGAGUCGGGUUGUUUGAGAAUGCAGCCCUAAGUGGGUGGUAAACUCCAUCCAAGGCUAAAUACAAGCACGAGUCCGAUAGCGAACAAGUACCGUGAGGGAAAGUUGAAAAGUACUUUGAAGAGAGAGUAAACAGCACGUGAAACCGCAUAGAGGUAAACGGGUGGCGUCAAGCUGCAAGCCCAGAGGAUUCAGUCGGUCAGGAUGUUGUGUAUGCGCCUGGCGCAUCUAUCAGUCGGUGUUAGAUUUGGCAGUCCGCCGGGAAACGGUGGGCCCACCGCAAGGUUGGGAUUUGCGUUCCGGGUGACUGCCGGAGCAUGCUGCCUAUCUGUUGGACUGUCUGGCCGAUGCACUUCCUCUGUUAUGGUGAACACCACGACCGGUGGUACUGCCAGUCUGUUGUGGCCAAGUUGUAUCUAGUUGGCAUUUAAUGUCAUUUGGAUGCAAUCACAGGCGAUGUCAUUGUCCGGCGUUCGGGCGUUCGCGUCAGUUCGUGUUAUCGGGCUUUGCUCGUCAACGGGUCGGUUCGUCGGUUGUUGCAAUCGCCGGCGGAUGGCUUGGUGGGCCAUGAUGGUAAGAAUAACUGUGCAGGGCACCGGAGUUCUCGGUCUCUAAUCUAGCUCGUGCACACAUUGCCUGUGGUGCGCGGGGCGUCAUUGCGGCCUGCCUGUGGUUGGGUCUGAUUGUCGUGUUGCCUGCGCAAAGUAGGCCCGACUUUGGCCUGAUUCGGGUUGGAGUCGUAGAUGGCGUCUCCUGCACGAGUUGGUGUGGACCAAACAGUCUGUGGUGUAGUGGUAGACUAGCCACCCGACCCGUCUUGAAACACGGACCAAGGAGUUUAACAUGCGCGCGAGUCAAUGGGUCCUACGAAACCCAAAGGCGCAAUGAAAGUGAAGCCUCGACUUGUUCUCGGGGUGUGGUGAGAUCCUGCUGUUACUCGCAUCUGCACUUGUGCAUUGUGUCAGCACCAGGCAAAAGAGCGGCAGGCGCAUCACCGGCCCGUCCCAUGAUGUGGUCAUUGGUCGGUUGUUGUUAUGGGUUUCGGCCUGUGGCGGCAGCUCCAGUGCGUCAUCGGGGCGGAGCAUGAGCGCGCAUGUUGAGACCCGAAAGAUGGUGAACUAUGCUUGCGUAGGUUGAAGCCAGAGGAAACUCUGGUGGAGGACCGCAGCGAUUCUGACGUGCAAAUCGAUCGUCAAACGUGAGUAUAGGGGCGAAAGACUAAUCGAACCAUCUAGUAGCUGGUUCCCUCCGAAGUUUCCCUCAGGAUAGCUGGCGCUCAUUCGCAUGAUCAGUUUUAUCCGGUAAAGCGAAUGAUUAGAGGUACUGGGUUCGAAACGAGCUCAACCUAUUCUCAAACUUUAAAUGGGUGAGAUGCCCGGCUCGCCUAAUAGGAGUCGGGCGUUGAAUGUGCGAGUGCCAAGUGGGCCAUUUUUGGUAAGCAGAACUGGCGCUGUGGGAUGAACCAAACGCUCGGUUAAGGUGCCUAACGCUGACGCUCAUGAGAUACCACAAAAGGUGUUGGUCAAUACAGACAGCAGGACGGUGGCCAUGGAAGUCGGCAUCCGCUAAGGAGUGUGUAACAACUCACCUGCCGAAUCGACCAGCCCUGAAAAUGGAUGGCGCUGGAGCGUCGGACCUAUACCGGGCCGUCACUGCAAGCUGAGUCGCUGGCACAUGUGUGUGAUGUGAGCGGCGCAUGGCUGGUCCUUGUGUGAAACCGGCCGCCGUAUGGAUGUCAUGACUCAGGCAUGGAGUGCGGUGACGAGUAGGAGGGUCGCCGUGGUGAGCGGGGAAGCUUCGGACGUGAGUCCGGGUGGAGCCGCCACGGGUGCAGAUCUUGGUGGUAGUAGCAAAUAUUCAAGUGAGAACCUUGAAGGCCGAGGUGGAGAAGGGUUCCAUGGGAACAGCAGUUGGCCAUGGGUCAGGCGGUCCUAAGCGAUCCGGUGACUCGGUACAGAGACGUGGGGUGCCUUGCAUAUGUGUGUAUAUGUGUGUGUGUAUAUUUGCUGGUAGCCCCCCGGAGCGAAAGGGAAUCGGGUUAAUAUUCCCGACCCUGCCCACGGAGAUAGGCGUGCGUUCGGCUGGUCUGUUAGGCGUAUACUUCGGUGUGCGUACUAUGGGCCGUGUUCGGGCGUCGUCAAGCGCGGUAACGCAAGCGAACUCAG
rnacentral:rRNA from 1 species